GAUCCCAGGUCCCGCCCACCCCUCGGGGCUCAGGGAUUGCAGCGAUCCAGCCGCGCGGAUGUCGGAGCCCGGACGUGUGCGGAAGUCCUGCGCGGCCACCGCUCGCUGCCUUCCGGGCAGGGAAACUGAGGCUGGGAGGAGGCGGCCACCCAGCCGCUGGCAGCCGGGGGCCGAGCCCCCACCCACCGAGCGCGGGCGCAGACGGCGGGCUCUGCGCCACACGCAGAGACAGCUCUUCUGAGGAGUGGCUUGAAGGAUCCUCUGUGUUAACAAGUGGAGCACUUCUCCACAGCGAGCACUGUCCUCGCCCAGUGAACUGGAGCUCAGAUCUUCUUGACAUGACAAUUUUCCUGAGAUGUGGGGGGCUGUGAUGCAAGUUCCCGCAUUUGUUGCGCCUUAGUAGUUUCAGAUACUCUGUACCAGCAGCCCUCCUCCCAUGGGACAAGUGUGAUUUGAUGCAGAAUGACACUGUAGCUGUUUCCACGGACUCCAUUCUACCCUUCUGUAGCUCCACAGAUGCCCAAGGAAUGACCCCAGGAGGCCCUGAGUGGUCUAACUCCAUCAGCUUGUGGUGUUUCCCUUCCUCAAUGCCUGACUUCAGAUGACCCAUUUGAAGCAAAGCCCAGGACUUUGGAGGAUGAUCCAAGGCAAAGAGCUGCCUUCUGGGUGAGCUGCAUGAGUCUGGAUGAAAAUACAGCACAAUCUGGACAAAUGAUCUGGUCAGCCCAUAGCUCAGGCUGAGCCCAAGUUACUGGCUUAAUGUUUAAACUGGUUUGCACUGAAUUUUUCUGCUACUCAUUGCCAGAAGCACCCUCACCAACCUGCAUAGAGGACUCCUUGCUCCUAAUGUGGAAACAGAACUGAAGUAGCCUAAUUCAAUGAAAAGACUCAAAGUCCGUGUGUGCAGCAGCCAUGUUUGUGUUGUCCACUGCCAUCCCCAGGGCUGAUUGGAGAGGCUGCAGAUAGGAGUCACUCAGUACCCAUCUGCAGAGUGAAUGAAUAAAUGAUCAGAAAUGAAUAAAUGAUUAGAAAACAA